AUGUAUGUACCUAUGCAACAACCCUGCAUGAUCUGCACAUGAACCGCAGAACCUAAAGUGCAAUUUAAAAAAUCGUGUUAAUGAGGUAUUGAACUGGAGUGAAGUGUCCUGAAAUAGUUUUUCAGUAUUUACUGUAUUAUAGAGGGAGCACCAAAAAUGCGAGAGACCUGUACUAUUCAAUGAAACGUGUGGGAAAAUUAAUAUGGAUAAGGAAGUCCCUCACUUCAUAUUGUACUCCAAAACAAUUUCCAGAUGGGUCAGUCGAAUAAAAAUACCUGCAUUAUAAAAAAGAACAUGCUCUUGAAUAUUUAACUGAUUUCAGGAAAAGUAAGAGCUUUGUAAGCAUAUAAAAACUAGAAAGAAAAUCUCACAAAAAGGAGACUAUUUGAUUUGACUUACUAAAAUACUGAAAACUAUUAAUAUGUCAAAAUUUUAAAAUAAGGCAAAUAGACCAGAAAAUAUAAAUGUAAUUUAUAAUUAAUAAUUCCCUGGAAUUAUUAAUAACCUGCUAGCCCUUGCACAGAGGAGAUGUUCAAUAAGAUGCAUAUUUACGGCUACAGCCUCUGUUCAGAAAAGAAGAAAAAAAUAGGAAGCAAAUACUUUCUUUCCAGGGUAGUGAAGUAAAAACCAUCCUCCCUGAGUGGCCUUGGCUCUGUCCUGUGCCAAUCGUCUUCCUGAGGAUGGCCCUCUCACCCCUGCGCCGCCACCCCCUCACCCAGAGCCUUCCAGAACGGCGCUGAGGUCAGCAGGGAACAGCUGGGGGAGACCGUACGUGCAAUUAGUUUUGUCAGCCUGUGUUUAAUUUAAAAACAUAAUGAGCGAUUCCAUACAGUUUUAAUUUUGGUUUUUAAUUAAUAGGGCUGAAAUUGGAAAAUGGCAUUUUUGUCUUAAUAUUUUUAGCCUAUGUGACUUGCUUUUCUUCACGCUCAUUAGUGCUUCAUUUUGAACACCUUUCCAAUGUGCACAGUCAGCUGAUGACUCAGUGAUCCCCAUGGAAGCACCACAAAAGCGGGGGUUGUGGGGAGCUUCCCACCUCCCAAGGGUCACUGAGGCCACAGCAUGUGCAAUUCUGGGCAGCCUGUGGAUGUCGUUGGUGGGUAUCUAAGUACUCAGUCACAUGUCAGGCGGGUCCCCAGCAUGCCUGCCCUUUGCCCAGAGCACCCCACACUGACCCAUGCGUCUUGUACAGAGCAGGGACGAGUUCCAGAGAGAGUCUCUCUCUAACGAUGAUGUUGAGGGAUACGGAAGGUUUAGGGGCCUUAAGUUUCUCAGACUUGAAGAGUUCAAGCUUCCCUUGCACAGAUGAAGGUCAGAAUUGCCAACUUCAACACCACAAGCCACUCUGGAACUGCAUAGGGAACCCUGGCCCUCCCAUCCCACAGGUCAUCAUUGUUACCUGUGCCCCCAACUCCCUGAGCCCUGGGCUGGCCCUGCCAGGGUGUCCUGGGACAUCCUGACAUAGAAGAUGACUUUUGUCAAGUAGUCCGGCCUCAUUGUCUAAAAAAUUUUCAGUGUGUGGUUUUGAAGUGGCCUCUGACUCCCGCCCCCCAUGCUGUCCUGCCCCUGUCCUAUGUCAUCUGUGGGAUCUGCGUAAAGUGAAGUGUCCAUGAAACUCCGGAGAAGGACAAAGCAGCAGGCAGCGGAGUGACGUGGCGACCAGCUCUGCAGCUGCAAGAGUCUCUGGGGCUUGGCCUGGGAGGCCUUGUGACCUCUGCGUGCAGUGUCCAAGGCUGUUGGGUGUCACACGCAUAGUCACGGACACACCCUGGCUCAGCAGGGCUGACCCUGCUUCCUCACCGAGGCCAUCAACACAAAUCACGCCAAAAUUCCGCCCCUGCUUCAGAACAAUGAAUUCCUCCCCACUGGCCUUGCUGCAGAAACGCAUAUGCAGUUUGAGUUUUCUGUCUUAAGGCCUUUCAUAGGCAUUCGUGCAACUUCCGGCCUCAGAAGCAGAACUCGCCCUGCUCUCAAGUGAGCAAAACCUGCCUGCACCUCUGAGGCGAAUUCGCACCAGGGCUCAGCCUCCGCCCAUUCUUCUCCUCCGACCUCCGACACGCUCUCCUUAGAAACCACACGGCCCAGAUAUUUGGCUCCUGUCUUUUUAAUCAUCUGUCCAGUGCUCUGCAGAGCCUUCCUACAAACCCCUGAAUCAAUCAUCAUCAUAACCGCCCACGAGCACCUCCUCUUGUGAUUCCCAUGAGGGAUUCGUGUCGUUAGUUUCAGGCAAUGCGAGCGUAUUCCUCCUUUUCUACAACCAAGGAAUGUUGUUAUAUUUGAUCCUCAUCUGUACUAUCUUUUGGUGAAUUUACUUUCAUUACUGUUAUUGAAAAGAAGACACUUUUCUCUCCUCGUGUCUGCUUAAAGCCUCCCUCGUGUUUUUUAGGCGAUGGUCAGUAGCAGGACGAUGGUCACCUGACACUGAUUUACUUGGCUCGACGACUCUCGUACCCUUCUAUGACUUGGCUUGUGAUUCUGCGAGUUUCCAAACAGAAAGCUAUGCCCUUGCCUGGGCAGGGGUUUCCUAGCCCACGAUGAAGGUCUCCUUUUCCUUAUGUGGCUCCUGAGACCUGGGGCCAGGAGUGACUGGUGCCCCGCAGCUCCAGCCCUGCUCCCCCUUCCCCAUCUCUGCCUUGGUGGGGUCUUCCAGUCUCCUAGGUGAGGAAGCAGCUGGGGGAGUUCAAGGUCUCAACCAGCGAGCCAGAGACUCAGAUUCUGGGCUUGGGGCCCUGAGGACAGAGCGACCACCCUGCACCCUUUCUCUGAGUCAGAGAGAGUCUCACUAAGCCCCAGUGCCGCAAGAACAGCUCUGCUGAUUGAGGGCCGCCUGUUUGCCAGGGCUUUCACAAGCUCCGGUGAAUCUGGUCAAAAGCCCUGGGAGGCGAUGGCACCUCUCUGAGCCAGGGGCCGGGGAUGGGGGCCCUUCCUGGCCUGCCCUUCCGCAUGGGGAAUUCUGGCCCAUGGAUGCAGAGAGGCAGUCUCCACAGCAGGUGAACUGCGCAGUGCGGCAAUUCCUUCAGUUGCCUGUGUGGAUGAAUACGACCUCGGCUGGGAGCUCCUGAAAAUCGGGGAGCAGCUUCAUAUGGUCUUUCUAUCCCUGUUUCCAUCCCAGAGCCCAGGGCUGGAGGUAGAGGCAGAGUCGUAUGAGCACUUGCUGGGCCGCUCCAUUCCAAUCGCUGCCCGCCUGCUGAGGGCCUCCCACCUGCAGAGGCCCCACUGGAGGGGAAUGACCGUGUCUCAUUCAGGAGGCACGGACCCGUGGGAGAUGCCCCUGUGACCAAGCCACACCACUCAGGCAGGGCAGGGGAGGCGACUGGGGUAACCGAGCUCCGCCCCCGCUCAACCCUUCACAGGGAAGACGCCUUUGGGUUGAACCGAACAGCAUUUCCCAGACCAUCAUCCUGCCCACUUCCUCUUUCUACCCCCUUCACCUUCUUCACUGCCUCUUCCCUCCCUCCCUUCCACCUUCUCCCAGGAGUUGCUAACACCAGACCCCUCUGUAAAUGAUGUCCUUGUUUCCUUUGUGACUUUAUCCAUGUAGCAUUUUCUUAGCAAUGAGCUGUGUUUCACCUGUUUUUGAUGCGUGUGUAAACAAGCUGUCCAUGAGCUUCCACCACAUCCCUCUUCCUUUGCUCCUGGUUCUCGGUGUGCGCUUCCCAUGUUUAGAGGUGUGUGCUAUGCACACUCCGGCGCCUGUGCUCGCUGCUGUGGAGUGUCCUGCCACGUGCAUCUGCUGCAGGGUGCACGGUCCUUCCACCAUUGCUGGAGAUUGUGGUGACGUCGGGUGUGUGGCUGUUCUGCAAAGGCAGCCGCAGCUAUUCCUGGGCGCGUCUCCGGGCACACCUACCGGUGCUCUGCCCACGUGGUCCUGAGGUGUAGUUGCUGAGGCGUGGGGCCUGCACCUCUUCAACCUGAUGAGAUUGCCAUUUUCUAAAGCGGGGGCACCCUUUCACGUGCUCACCAGCUCCACAUGGGAGUCCUGGCGGCUUCAUGUGUUUCCAACCUUUGACAGUCAGCAGGAUCUCACUAGCUACCAGAUAUUUUGAAUUGUUGCAAGAAACACAUGUUUGUCUUGGUUCUUAUGGAGAGUUUUAAUUUUUUAUUUGGUACCUUCUAUGAAGCUAGGACCUUUCCUGCCUGGCCUUUAGUCACCCACCCUGCUCUGCCUCAGAUCUGCCAGCUAGGCAUGCAGCCCCCAGCCAAGGCUGUGGGAGAAUCCUCUGCAGGCCAGCCCAAGUUGGCAGGGCAGCAACUAGGGAUGGACAUGGGCACCGGGAGUCCACUCUGUUUGUUUCCUGACCUGUUUGUACCACUUUGCACACAUGGCAUCAUUCACCACAUUUCACUGACUCCGGGUACAAAUAUGUGUCUGCACGUUGUCACUGCCGUCAGUGUGGGCAGUGCGGGGAUGCUUGUCAUGUGUCCUUGGCAAGACGUUUCCUUUCUGCAGAGCAUGGAAACUCCUGAUGCAUCUCAUAGUCAGCUUUACCCUAGAUUCACUGAGGUAUGAUCGUUAAUUACUAUGAUCUGAUGAACUUUGAAUAAUAAAAAGAGAAAUUUCUGUGGAAGGUAAAUUAGAUAGUUUGGAAAUAUGCAAUAUAUACAAACAAAAAUGAGAAGUUCUGUUGAAAAGGAUUGGGUGACACAGUUGUCAGGUUUGGGGUUGGGGUGGGCUGUCAGGGUCUACAGGGAUUCUGCCAUCCAGUUGCUGUGCAAAAUUCAUUAGAUUCUUCCCCUGCCCUCUACCUUGAAAAUGGACACCUGGUAAUUUUUUUUACAUUUUUUUAUAAGUGCUAAAGCCAUUGGGGGAAAGGUUGAGGAGCUACUGCCCCACAUCCUGCUUCCGAGUUACGGUGGGAAAGGUUAUCUUCACAAAAGGAAGCCUGGCAGGCAGAAGCAGGUGUCUCCUGAUGUGACAUGCAAUGGCUAAAAAUAUUUCACCCUCAUCUAGUUAUGAAGAAACCACAAAAUCAGUCCAGACUAUGAAACAUUCCACAAUGCAGCUGCCCUGAAUGCUUUGGUGACAAAGGUAAAUGUCUCAACACCAACAAAACAUGGACGCUGCUUUAUUCAAGAAUACUGUUGCAACUUGACAACUAAGUGAAAAACUUGAUUUGUGAUGGGAUUGUGCAGAACAAGUCAUUUUAAGGAUAUUUGGGGGAAGCUGGGAAAUUGAAUGUGUGCGGAAUGUUAGGUGUGUAAAUAGUGUUGUGGUUGUGUAGGAGCUCGCCUCAGGUGGAUGCACACUGAAACGUUUUGGGUGAAGUGUCUGCUAGGAUUAACCCACCUGGCAGUGGGGCCCGUGCCCUUUCAGGCUCAAUGCAGCCAUUCGAGGGUGCUUAUUUCACAUUCAAUACUAGAUGUAAAGCGUUGUGAUAACUUUUAUUGUAGUUCUGUAAUGUUACCUGCAGAAAAAUAUCUAAUGUUCAAGAGAGCCAAAUGCAGCCGUGGGUAGGUUGUUCUCUAUCUUUAAUUCUAAACCUUUUCUUUCCAAUGGUUCUGAGGCAAACAUUCGUUAGAGGAUUUGAGAAUCUUUCACCCUGAAGUAUAGGCAAGUGUUUUUGAAAACUUGACCAAUAUCAUGGAAGAAUAGUUCAGUUUAGAUCAGAAUGCAGUGUGCUAUCACAUCUUGUUAUUCUUCCCUAGUUUCACAGUUGAGAAAUGAUUUUUCUUUGGGGAGUUCUGCUCAGUAUCACAGUGAGAGGUGGAAAGAAGCCUGUUUAGACAGAUUAAGAAUAUUCAUGAUUUUUGCACAGCCUUCUAAAAUCCACAAUUAUAAGCAUUUGAAAAUAUGUUUAAAUAAAACAUAAGUAUUAAUGAACAUGUUUUAUUUGCAUUUUGUGAAACCAGUUCUUCCUCUAGACGUUCUUUUCUGUUCUCCAAUGUUUCUCUUAUGUGUGGUACUUCACUUACUGCUGUUCUUUCACCAGGUGGCCCCUACCUGGAGUUCAUGUGCCGCUGAGAUGGGAUUUCUAGUAGCAUUCCUUUCUCUCUUCCAUCCAUUCAGUGGAUGAGAUAAACUGAGAGUCACAGAUAGAAUGCUAUUUGCUAUUUUUAUCAAGUGAUCAAAAUAUGUGCAGGGCUUGGACUGCUAUAUUUCUGGUUAUUAGUAAGAAAGCCAGGGAGACAUCUGUACUUUUCUGGGAAGAGAAGGUGAUUGAUGCCAGCACUGAGCAGCCUCUCUAAAUGGCUGAUUGUGAUACCGAUUCCAUCUUCUUGUGUCUGAUUCGGUAACUGUGUUGGCCCAGCUAGACUGGACCUAAAUCUCAGGGAUGAGUUAAGUCAAUGAGAAUUAUUUACCUUCUUAAAAAA